GGCGGCGGGCGCGCUGCGAUUGGCCGGCCGCCGCCCCGGCUGGACGCGGGCGAGGCGCCUCGAGUUUGGGCAGUGCUGAGGGGAGAGGCGGUUGCAUCGCCCGGCGGAAGCGGGGCCGCUGGCGGGGCGGAAGAGCCAGCCCGCGCGGCCGCUCCCCGGCGUGCCGUUCCCCGCGGCCCUGGGGAAGCGCGUGUUGCAGCACGGGAAGUGAAGCCCGCGAGGUUUCGGGGAGGCCGCAGGAAACGCUCUCCGGCUGGACCGAGUUGGCGGCGGUGGUUUAGGAUGAUGAAGGCAUGGCAGAGGUUCAGGACUACGGUGCAAUGAUACCACCACCAAAAACGACCCAAAGGCCCCUCGUUCCUCCUCCCGGACAGGCGCUGCUGGAGCAGUGCACUCGCCUGCGCACCCCAGUCCGUCCCAGGCUGCCCCGAGGAAGGGUGACGGCCACACGGCUUCGGGGCCCAGACUCCACGAGAGGCAGGAUUUGGCAGAGGAAUGCCUGGAAAAAAGGGCAGGAGCAGAACAAAGGUGCAGCUGAAUAAUUAAACCCAGGCGAGGAGGAAUCGGCAGAGCCCGGCUACUCACGCGAGAGGGAGUCCAGCUCUACGCAAACGAGGCGAGGCUCCCUCCUUCCAUGGUGCCCAUACAAAGAAGGGUUAAUCAAAGCAGAACUCGAUGCAUUUUGGCUUCCCGGCAGUGAGAUGCACUCCAGGUAGGGUAUCUGCUCAAGUGCAGCCGUCUCUGAGUGGGUAAAUGAGGGAGGGAAAGUGGAGUUGACCACAGCAGGGGAAAAUUCUGAGUUACAAGUAGCCGGAAAAAGCUAUCGUCAUCAGAACAACUGGCUGUUUCUAACUGAUAGUGACGUUCCUGCACCACAAACCACGUGGAACCUGGUUUCUUGGUGGCAAAACUGUUAGAAGGGAUCCUGCCAAGACACAAGUCCUAGAUCGAGGGAAUAUGCAUAUUGGGAAAUGCUGCAGAGGCCCUAACCGAAUAAUUUCUCGGACCCUGGAGCCUCUCACGACACUCCUUGCUGUACGUAUUUUGCAGGUAAGGAAGCUAAACACAGCAUAUUCCCACAGCACACGAAUGGUAGAAACCAGGAGUCCGGGUCUCCGGGGCCCUGCUCAGGCCUCCAGACAGGCAGAGCAAUGCUGGAUGUUUCACCUUGUCAGAUGGCAGGAACAAAGAACACAGAAAAAGGAGAAAAAACCAAGAGCCUUGGCCUCCGAGCCCAGGGGAGCAUCACAAAGCUCCUCCUGAGAAGAAAUACAGCCCCCGUUGAGUCGCAGCCGCCUCCGGCUCAGAUUGGGCUUCUUGAUCACCCCUUGGGGCGAGGGGAUUCACGGGCCUUCGUGGGAGCGCCUGCACCGCGCUGGAGCAGCUGGGCUGUAACCCGGGGGUGCUCUGCGCUGCGCUCAGGUAUCGGUCUGACGAGACGUCCUGGGUGUAAACGGCCGGCAGGUUUAAUACAGUUACAAGCAAGGAAAGAGGGCCUGGAAAACAUCUGGACGUCAGGACCUGAACUCCGUUUGCCCGGCUGCCACCGUCGUGUUGCGUGCUCCCAGUCGCAGUGUCCUGCCCGCAUCUAUCUCAGCCACUGCGGCUGGAAAAACGGAUCUGACUCCAGCCUCCGGAAGGUGGACGAGGACUGCAUUAACUCGUGACUGGAGUGCUUUGAGGUCACCCCGAUAAGACAGCGGGGGAGGACAGGCUGCAGACGUGGACAGUGUGACCACGACACGCAGUGCUGGCAGGAGGGGGGGGUUCUGCUCUCCGCCAGACCCGCACCGCGGAGGAGCCUGGGUGGGCGGCGGUGCAGACUGCACAGCACUGACCGGUUUGAGACCAAUUACUAUUUGCCGCUUGACUCAUGAAACAGAACGGACAUGUUAGGCAGCCCGAAGGAAUGGCGUUCACCUCGCGCUCAGCCCGUCUUCGCCACGGUGCAGUACGCCUUCUUGAGCAGUUCAAAGUCAAACUCACCAGGCAGCAUUUGGGGUGAAAUCAGGUGAAACGCACUCUUUUGAAGCUACUCCCCAACAGGGAGGAGGGACGGGACAGGAACUGAGGAGCCUGACAUGCGGCUGCGGUUUGCUUCUGCGUUCAGCUGAACACUGUCCUGCCCCAAGCUGCUUCCCCGUUCCCCUCCCCGACUCCGCGCGGCCCCGGGACACACCUCGAAGCGCACGGUGCUGCACGCGCGGUUGCGUGCGGCUGCGGCACCCUGCUCCGCGCGUGCCUGCCCUUCUGCGCCGCUGACCGGGAUGACUUCCCCGGGGGCCUGUUCCUGUGGGAAAGCCAAGGAGAGAGAAAAGCAUUAAGGAGUUUUGUACAAAUUGGCCUCGCUAGCAAUGCAAGCCCAGAAACCCAGUGUAAAAUGAGGGUAAGUGAGGCUGCGGAGUCAGCUCCCCUCGGUACAACUCAGGCUGGAGCUUUAAACUCAAGAUAGAUGCACUGUUUUGCUCUUCAUUGCCAUAAAUGGCAUCCUCAACAUUCACAUUACAGAGGCUUAUAUCAUCUCCUGCUUUCAUAAACUGACUACAGAAACUAAGAGAGAAGUGCUGAAAAGCUGCUGACUGUUGGAACAACUCUAGAAACAGGCAGGGUACUCGGGGUUAUUUCAGCAAGUGGAAUGGUUAGAACAAGAACUAGGUGACCACGUUCUCUCCUCGAGUCUAGACGGCUGCGUAUUUCAGCAGCGAGAGCGGAAAAUGGCUUUCGGGAUUCCUAGUUUAUCUUGCCGCUGUCACCAUGAACAAAAUCGCUUAAACUCUGUGCCUUAGUUUCCCCUAUUCGUAAAGAGGGGAAUAUUUCAUAAAUGGAUUAUGAGUGUAAAUAUUCACCAGUCUGAAGUGCUUCCAGAAUGAGAGCAGCCUUCCAGACUAGGUGCUAGCACCCGUGAGAAGACCCAGGUUCUCAUGGUAACUCAAAGGAACAGAAAGUCACUUCUCUGUUUCCCCUCCCACCUUUGAAAUUCGAAAGAUGACAGCUUAAAAAGAUUAAGCUGCUCAAUACUUCCACACUUCUCUGAAAAUCCUACGGAGAUGAAUUCCAGGGAACAGGAACUCGCUCUGAUUUGUAUGUGUACAGGACGCAGAGCUUAGAGUUCAGUGGUUUCUUAGAGGUUUCUAAGGCACUAAUGUAAAUCAAACAGUCAGAUGACACCAGGUUUAAGAAGUUAACACACCCAGAGCUGUGUCUACAAUAGAUGAAAAGGAUGCAACAAACGUUUGUUUUCUUUCUGAAAAACGUUAAUAAAGCUGGAAAUACAAAACGUUCAACAGUGCAGAGGGUCAGCACACAGGAGAUUUCUUUCACUUCCUAUCUCACGGAAAACGCAAAGGUGAGUGCAACUUCCCCACGCUGGAAAAGUCGAGAACACAUUUUAAUCCAAAGGUAAAGAAAACCCUGGAGAAACGUUCACAGUUGCAGGCAAGCCUGAGCUCACCCUUCUGUCCCAUUUAAGACAACCUGCUCCUCCAACAGCAGCACCUUGUGCAGGAACAGAGCAGGAAUCGGGGCAACGACGGCACCCGCCACCCAGCCCAGCGCUACCUCCCGCAGCACCUGAUCCUUACGCAGGAGGCACCUCGACGUGGAGUUCCCAGGACAGCAGCAUUUUCAGUUCAUACCCAGUCUGAAUCCAAAUCAGCUUUCAAGCAAGGACAAGCCUUUAUAAUCAGUCCAGUGCUAUAUUAACUCAAUCAUUUAAUAGCAAUACAGAAUAAGAUUAUUUAUUUACACAAACAUGUAUAUGCACUGAAAGGACAAUAUAUCCACCGUGCUCAGCUCUUCCUCUGCAGCAAACUAAAUGUUAAAGGCUGCUUAACGCUAAACAGCUCCCUAACACCGAAUUGCAGCAGCGUGGUAGAUUCCUCCGUGCUGUCUCACCUUCCUCUGUGAGGCAGCCCAAAGGCGGUCCUGCACGCUGCGCAGAGAAGAUGCGGUUUCCCAACAAUGAGGCGAUGAAAUCCACUUUUUGGCAGCCAGCACAGAUGACUAAAUUACAUGAGGCUGAGCAGAGACACUCACCUGAUCUUCCUCGCUUAGAGGGGUGCUUUCCAAUUACUUUGGUUAUGUUCAGACUUCAGAUAACCUCUGUUUUCUUUCCUGGUUUGGGUCCCUGUAAAAGAAAGGUCAAUAAUGAGUCCAUAAUAUCAAUCCAAUGAAACAGAUUAUAGUGGAGCACAGCACAUUAUCCUCUUUAAGUUUGUCACAUGCAUAUAUUUUCCCACACAUUUUCACUUGAAUUGAACAUAAAUAUGUUUAACUUUGACCAAAUCUUAUACCAUGAUUUAAGCACAGCAAAUUAAGCUCUCUUAAUAAUAAGAAAGUCUGAAACAGCCUGAAUGGAGUUCACUUUGAAGCAGCGCUGAAGUGAUGCCAGCCACUGCUCAGCCUGAUUUCCCGUCAGUUGAACGGCUUGGUCCUUCCUUCAUUGGGGUAAAAACGACGCUCAUCUUGACACGGUCACUGAUGGACGAGGGGGCACACAAAUCCUCCUUCGCUAACCCGGAUCCGCUUAGCAACAGAAGAGCGUUUCACUGAAGUUAGCAUCACUCAUGUUUCUGUACGACUGCCAUCAGCCUUGCUGGGGUCCUGGUAGCCAGCAGUCAUCUGCUCUCAUCUUCCACAGAGCAUUUUCACUUGCACAGGUGUUUCACAUGGACUAAGAUAAUUCUUAAGUGUAGCAGAACAUGGGUGUAAAGUAUUGCACACACAGUAGCAUAAUGGCUAAUUGCAGGGACAGUCAAUGGUAGAAAACACUGAGACGUCACUGCAUCUCAUGACCCUGUCAAGACACAAGUAGGUGCAUGUUAGAACAGGAUUUGGGAGGUAAGGUUGGAGAGUUUUUCGUUUCGUUGUUUUUUGGUUUUUUUUCUGGAAAGAGUUCACGUGCUUAUUUGUCGCUGUACACCGUUUUGCUUUACAAUAAUUUAAAAUACAGAGCAUACUCUUAUUGUGAUUAGGUUUGGGAAAAGAUCUUGGCAUUUGGGAAAGUAAAUAAUACGUCUUUCCAGAUGCUGCAAUUCAGCUUAUGCUAGAUAAAAUUUUGGUCUGAAAUCUGGGUAUUUUUGGAGACUAAACUGGAUUCUGAAACUUUCAUUCCCAGCUAAUUCCACGUCAGCCUGGCAAGCUUGUGCCUUUUUUCCUGACAGAUUAAAUAUUAUUUUAUCCCACAUGUAAGAGACUUGCAAAUAUCAAAGCAAUGACUAUAUAUAGGAAUGUAUUUUUGUUAUUAUAAAACUUGCCUUUUCUAAAUUGCUUUGAAGAGUUCACACAUGUGUUUUUUGGGUUUUUUUUUAAUAGAUUGAAUAUGUUCUGAGCAAACCUGGCUGUUUUAGCCAGAGGACUGAAUCAGCAGCAGCAAUGGCAGGGCAGGAUGCCACCAGUCCUCCACCCACCAAAAGCAGUUCCAAGAUCUAGGAAGUGGAGAUUUGUGAUUUGCUUAUUUGAGCCUCAGCAUUUUAGUGUCGAGGGGCUAAGUAGGGGAAGGCACUUGACCAUUCCAUACUGGCCCAGGAUCAAAUUGGCUUCAUACGAGCUUCCAAUCAUCAUCAAGACUGACUAGAUUUUAACUAUUUCAUUAUUUUUAUUGCCCAUAGUAAGAAAAGGUAUAAAGUAAACAUUAAAUUAAACAGUUAAACAUUAAGGUAAAACAUUAAGUUUGAGGCUUCCUUAAAACUCAAUGAUCUAAAGCUGAUAGGGUAGAGAAAAAGGACAUGUCUCAAAGUGAAGGUCCAUGUAGCCAAGGCUAAUACAUCUAGCAGGACCAGUGCGAGAUGGUUAGGGAAUAGGGUAUCUAAAACAUGAACUGCCCCCCCAACCAUGCCCUUCUUCCAAGCCUCCAAUAAUCUCCAGCACUGAGUUGUUUAUAAAAUGAUUUUAAAAUAUGCAUUAACCUUUUAAUCUCAAGCCUGCACAAAUCAUCUGUGUAUCCUCUGCUUAAUGGCAAUUCAUUUAUAUUGCUAUGAUGCAUUUUUCUUUAUAGAUCUGCUGUCUCAGCUCACACAUAAGCAGGAGGUAACCUCUGGGGUAGGAACAGCAGCUGUCCCAAACCCGAUCACCUGGAAUUCAAGCAAGCAGCCCUGGCACAGCUAUCAGAAGACAGCUCAUUAGACAUGAGCAUGAUUUACAACCAGGCUGUAUCAAUCAAUGUUUUAUUAGACCAAUCUCGCAUCUUAGCGCAAAUCAAGCACCUACUUCUGUAAAGAGGCAUGUUUAUGGCAAGACAGUAACUUCAAAAACACAGCACGGCAAACCUGACUGCCUGGGACAGAAACCAAAAACGAAGUCUCCAAGAAAUAUUGCUUUCAUAAGCUUACCUGAAACCAUGCACAGCAGGAAAAGGGCAAAGUACCACCACCUCACAUGAAAUCCAUUUCAGAUCUACUCUACUACCUUCUAGGCAGGAGGGUUCUUACUAAGGAAAGCUUUUUGUGGUUUUGUGGGGGGCGAAGGGGAUGCAGACAACAAAAGGCAAGAGAAGGACAAGGUUACUUAAUUCUAAGUGUCAAGACUACCAAGUCAGACACUGGGUGCUAUAUCAAAAGAGUAAGUUAAAGGAGCAACAAAUGGGUGCCUGUACUAAGUUUACUCAUUAAGAAAACCUUUCUAUUCCAGAUCUUGAAGAUUUUCAGCCUGAAGUUUGUGUCAGCAAGAUUCAAUACAGAUUUUCGUCAUCACUCAAUCAUUAAAGCUCAUACAGAAUUAAAAUCUACCUUCUUUGCACGCAGAAGAGACGGGGACUAGUCAGUCUGCUGAAACUAUUCAGUUUGCUCACUGACCACAAACUCGUUAUUUUUGCCUUUCUCCUUCAACUGCUUGCAUGUCAUUUGCAUUGUUUAAAGUCAAAACAAGACCACCUCAACUUGCAGCUACAGUAUGUCUCAUUUCAUACAUCACCAGUCAUGCUGGAAUUACAACUUUGCAUGUUAUUUUGUUAAUGUGCAAGAAGCAGAAGAGAAACCAGCUUACGCUUCUGAAAUUACAUCGGCUCUGCAGUGCUGACAGCAGGAAAAAACAUCAGUAAACUUAACAGAUAUGACUCAGGACAAACAAUUCUCAUUGCAAUCCAAUUUCUGACCAUGUAGCCACGCUAGCCCCAGGGACACUAGCCAAUGUGAUAGCGUUCAAGAACACCACACCUUCAAUAACUAUGAAGUUGCUCAUUUCUGGGGUGCAUCUCUGCCUCGGCUCAUUGAUGCUGAAAUCAGCAGCAUCUGGACAAUACUGUUCUUCUUGCAGUCUCAGAGAUGCACUGUACGAAACUCUACAUUCUCCACUACUCUUACUCUACCCUUUAUUCCACUAAACUCAGAACGGCAGGCAAGCACGCUUUCUUCUCACACCAUUUAGCACAGACUCUUUUGCAUAUCAGUGUCCUCAACUUUUUAGGUGUUUAUUUAAUAGAAAUUCACUAAUUUGAAAUUUUUGUCCUUUCCUUUACUUUCCAAACUGUGUCCCAGUUAGUUCUUUAGUGUUUGAGUACAAUCUUUAUUAAGAUCACACAAGAUCUACUUACUAUCUGUAUGGUAUGUGCUCAUUCAGCUGCCCCAAGAUCUAGCACUGACAGCAGAAGAGGAAAAGGCUGAGAACAAGGGGUUCCUUGGGGCUGUUGAAGACACCACUGACAUGUGACCAUUGCUGUUCCCCUACAGAAGUUUAAGUCCUUUGAAAGCAGCAACACUCUUUCAGACUUCAAACAGAACACAAGAUCAGGACAUCAAUUUCACAUUGACAUUUUUAUUAACGCCAACUGUUUUAAUUUUUUUUUUUUAAACAAUAGCACAAAAAUGUUUCAGGGAAGCAGUCUGACAGUUAGUCUGAUGACCUUCUGAAAUACAGUUAAGCCACACCAAAUACGAAUUCCUGUUAAAGAAAAAAAAUAUAUGGAACUCCAACCUUUGUAUUAGAGGGUGUUGUCUGGUUAGUAGACCACGCUGCUUUGUGAAGUAAAUGAUGGCACACAACUUAGACUUCAUCAUCACGCCAGUCAUCACUAAUUUAAGGCUUCUGAAUCAAAUUACCAUCAACAUCACGAAAGGAACGAAAAGCUAGUGUUGCUACGGCCAUGAGGAGAUUGAACAAGCUGGAUCUUUUAGACAAGUAACGGUGUCUUGAAUAGAAGAGGCCUGCCCUUACAGCAGUCCGGGAGAACCAAUCACGCAGUACUUAUCUCCUCAUUUGCAUGCAUUUUGAGGGUGCAAUUUAGUAAGAAAAAAAAUAUAUUGCAUGAAUCGUUCUCUUAUUUAAUGUGGCUAUGAAAGAUGUUUCCUUACAAUUCCAUUAUCUCUAAGAAGGACAUCAGCAAAUGGAACCAAGGAGAAAAACCAAAGAGCGACAGAACAUUUUUCUUUUUGCUGAGAGGUAACACAAAAGGGAGGGAACCUACUAUCCUUGGAUUGGAUUGGGGGGGUUGCAGGAACAUCUCCCCAAAACCUCACACUUGGAAUUAUGCAGAGACUAUCUUAUAUUAGCUACCUGCCUUUCCCAGUGAACUGUUCCACAAAAUGCUCUCAGAGGCAUUAACCCAUUCCUGCCCCAGACUCUCCACAAAAUUCCACUGACCUAGAAACCUCUGUUUUUCUUUUUUCUUUUUUUUUGGGGGGGGAGGGGGACUGUAAAAAACAGAACAUCUGUCAAUAAGAGUGUUGAGGGGGGGUGUUAAAUAUUUUAACCACUGACAAGGCUUGAGGAAGUUUCACAGUUUUGUUAUGCUCUAUUUUAUUACUAUCAUAUUUACAGAUUUUUUACUUUUUUUUUGCUGAAUUGCUGAUAAUUUUAAUAGAAUUUAAUUCUGGAGUGUGAGCAGGAACCAGUUAACUACAUUCAUUGUCCAAUCCCCAUUGGUUUGAGAAAAAGACUCCAAAUUCUUGGCAUAUGAAUCAGCUGUUGGGUAGCUCCUCCCUCUCCCCAUGAUGAGGCAGCAGGACUGCAGCGGUGGCAUGCACAGAUUCACACCAUGGCUGGUGGGGCCUUGCGCUGCAGAAAAUAUUGGUGGAUGUUCUCGGCGUCCCGCUUCAGCCAAGCUGCAUUCAGCAGAAUGUUUUCACAGCACUGCUGGACAGUGCGUUCUGCCGAUGGAGCUGGGUGACUCUCAAAGAAGGCCUGUAUAAAAAGCACACAACCAUCCAUAAGAGUAUAAACAGCCAUAGACAAGAUUAUAUUUUUAGUCACCAAAAUUCCCUAGGUUAUGUAGAAAUGCUCCUAGGAAUUACGGUUUUUUCCUGACUACUGUUCAUGCUAUCUUCUCCCACCAAUGUCACUGAGACCGUGAAAGAGAAAAGCUUGCAGGGUGCUUGCAGAGUUUGCAAGACAGGCAUGAUCUGAAGUACUGAGUGAGAACAGCAAAAUGUCUCAAUUUCUCUGCUAAAGGAAAGCCACAGUAUCAUUUCUACAAACUAGUCCAAACGCUGCCUCCUCCCUCUCUUGUCCAGGCUGCCAAGGACAGUAAGCAGCACUUGAAGAGAUGAUCAGAAUUCAGUCCCUCAUUGGAAGGCAACAAAUGAGCAGCAAAUCAAACGUGUAUUUCUGGAUACUUGGAAGAAGACUCUAACUGAAGCCUAAGGCCAUUUUGCAAAAGCAUUUGUCCAGAUAUCAAAUUUCUUAGCACCGUCUUAAGUAGGCCUCUGUCCAAAGUGGAUAAUGACAUCCAAGCACCAGCAGCACUCAGAGUUUUGCUGGAUAUUCUCAUGUUCCUUCCCCCAGAAUGAACAAUAUCGAUCACCUGCAAGUAGCUGAAGCGAAAGCGACUGCAAAGACUGCUGUGACCCUUCAGUUCAGAAUUGGUUAAAGGGCAGAAUAAGCUGACAUAGCGGGGAGUCAUCCCUCAUCUUUGUAAAAGUAGACUUUUCCCAGUAUUCAGCAGAUCACCUUACAUUAGUGUCUGCUACAGAGUGACAUGGACACUCAAGACACAUCAGUAUCCCAGCUAAAAACCUAGGUAUACUGUCUCAUGAAGCCCUCUUGGAACAUGGUUAUGAUUUAGUUGUGGACAAUUGUGCUGGUAAAUGUUUUGCAAAGCGCUCUGUAAGAAAAGUAGGGAUUUACAGUGCAAGAUUUCCCUAUCAAGAAAAGAUUUAGCAGCAUUUCUAAAGGGAAUAAGAUCAUCAGAUCAUUAAAAAGAAAGAAGAGGUUUGUGGAUCAGCAUGUCUUCAAACAGUAGUUAUAACUAGGGAUUCUGGAUUCAGAUUCACAUUCUUUGAAAUAAAAAUUCCUCCUCAACAUUUUCCUAACAAAAAAGAUAAUCAAGGGCCAUAUCUUUAAGCGUUUUCUUCCAAGAAUGAGCCAUGGAAAAACUGCAGGCAAAGACUGAAUAACACAACCUACACACAUUCUCAAAAUGCUACCAAGACCAGUGCCUACACACGCAAGACACAGGGGAUGCUUGGGCUCAGUAGUGAAAGCACAUCACCUUGAGCCACCAACUUCACGACAGACUCUCCGCAAACAAAUUAUCUGCCUCAUGUCAAAGCCUCACUCUUCCUACACACCACGAAUGGCCACACAAAAUUUGGAUCUACAGUAUGGAAUUUAGCUAAUUUCUACCAAGUUAACUCCCCCAAGGGUCACAGUGUGCUAAUGCAAUCAGUCAUGAAUGUGCCAUAUUAGUCCAGGGAGGAACAAAGCUUACUACAGAAGUUGUAAGAACUACAAAUUUUGCUACAAUUGUUUUUAAAGGCUAUCUUUUGGGGACUCUCAAAACCACUGCCUGAACCACUGUGCUGAAUUUUAUAAAAGUUUAAAUGAGUGAGACUACUGAAAUAGAAAUCACUACACAAAAAUACACAUUGAUUUCUGAAAAUGUUAAUUUAAGACAUUUCAGUAAAAUAACCAAAGCUAAACCAGUGCUAUUUAGGGACUAGGCAACACAGUCAAAACAGUCAGACAGAGCCAGAGUUCAAAAACAAAACACCCCACAGAAACUCAUGGCUCUUCCAUUAGGUACUUACAGUCCAAAGAAUGCAAUGUCUGUCACAGAUAAAGUAAAUCACUUAUUUGAUUAAAAUUUCUUACCUUAA